rnacentral:tRNA from 1 species
GCGACCGUAGCUCAACUGGAUAGAGUACCUGGCUACGAACCAGGCGGGUGGAGGUUCGAGUCCUCCCGGUCGCGCCA